rnacentral:lncRNA from 1 species
GCUGUACACAGGAAACCACACAUUCAAAAUAAUGCUAACCUGUCAAGUUAUUGAUCUGCACUGUACAUAUUUCCUGGUCAUAGGCAGCUUCCACACAAGAACAUCUGGAUGCAAAUUAAAGAAUUCAAUUACUCAAGCCUAAGUGAUAGAGGAGACCUCGGCUACUCUGCCUGAGCACAUCACUGCUGGAUCUCAAAAUCUGCAAGAACUUCCUAGGGCUUCAGGAACUUUCAUGUGCAUACCAGUCACCUGGGAAUCUUGUUACGAUGCAUAUUCUUUUUCAGUAAGCCCAAAUUCUGCAAUUCUUAUAAGGUCUUAGGGGACAUGAUGUUUGCUUCUAGUGGUCCAUGGUCUACUCCUGAAGGUCCACCAUGCCCAGCUUCAUCUCCCCACCCUCUGGAAACUCUCCUGUACCCAAGCCACUUGCUCUCUUCUAAAUAGGCAUUGUGUUCCCAUGUUCCCAUGUGUCUGCCUCUUUCAACUUCUCCUCUAAAAAUUCUCCAUGACCCCCAAGCAUAAGCCUCCAGCAGCAAGCUCAAAAAUGCUUUCUACUCUGUUGUGUUGCCCGGCCCACUUCAAGAGUAGAUGCUCAAUUCCUUCUUCCCCUAGUCGUAUUUGCUGCUACUUUUGCAGGCUGCUGGAACACUUUCACUCUGAGGAUUCUGAUGAACACAGUUCUUGCCCUCUUCACUUUUCCAAUCUGGUUGCAGGCACAGCGGGGGACAGCAGGAGUGCAACACAGUAACUUAAUAUAAUAUGGAGCUGCUAUUAUGGAGGGAAACAUUCACUGCUCUGAAAGGACUCAACAGCUGAGUCUUAAAGAAGGAUUUUACAAGAUUGACAAAGAAAUGGGUUAUCUCCAGAUAGGAAGGAAAAAUCACAAGGAAUAGUACAGCAAGGAAAGAGGAAACAGCACUGGACUUGGGGAAAAGGGAAAUCCUUGAGAUGUUGCUAAGGCAUAAAGAGCAAGACAGAGAGUGUCAGAAGAUGACACUGACGUCACCUGACUCCUGCUGCUGAGCUUCUCUGACAUUUUCUCAAGGGCUCAAGGCUUGGAUACCCUCUGAUAUGGUUUAUCUGUGUCCCCGCCCAAAUCUCACCUUGGUUUGUAAUCAUCUCCAUGUGUCAAGAAUGGGACCAGGUGGAGAUAAUUGAAUCAUGGGGGCAGUUUCCCACAUACUGUUCACAUGGUAGUAAAUAAGUCUCAUGAGCUCUGAUGGUUUUAUAAAUGGGAGUUCCCCUGCACAGGCUCUUUUUGCCUGCCACCAUGGAAGACACCCCUUUGCCCUUCCUUUAUUUUCUGCCACAAUUGUGAGGCCUCCCUAGCUAUGUGGAAUUGUGAGUGCAUUAAACCUCUUUCCUUU